UACGUAGGCAGCAAGCGUUGUUCGGAGUUACUGGGCGUAAAGAGUGUGUAGGCGGUUCUCCAAGUUCGGUGUGAAAUCUCCCGGCUCAACUGGGAGGGUGCGCCGAAAACUGGAGGGCUUGAGUAUGGGAGAGGAAAGCGGAAUUCCUGGUGUAGCGGUGAAAUGCGUAGAUAUCAGGAGGAACACCUGCGGUGUAGACAGCUUUCUGGACCAUCACUGACGCUGAGACACGAAAGCGUGGGUAGCAAACAGG
rnacentral:rRNA from 1 species